CCAAAGUGCUGGGAUUACAGGCAUGAGUCACCACACCCAGCCUUGGACACCCAUUUCUUCGAACGUAGGAAGAAACAUCUUAGGAGCAUGAUCCCUCCUGGGGAGCUAUCUUACGGUCUUAUGUGAUAAGGUGACCUCUCCUUUGGGUGAGUGGAGGCGAGGUAUCUGGAGUGUUCUUCUAUCCCUCCUAACCUCCCCUCCAAACAAAGCUUUCCUGAAAGCCUUGUCCUUAGUUUCCUGGAAUCUGAACCUAGCUUGGCUAAAUUUUCUUUUAAAGCAUCAGCAUAAAUCAUGAAUACCUUGGGAAGGGAACAUUAACCAUCAGCCGGCAAAGUUAAAAUUCCCCUCCAGCCCACUUAAAUGGACUGAAACCUCCACCCCAUCCCCAAAGGAGCCUUUCUGGCCUUGUCCUUGAACAUUUCAAAAUCGAGUUUCUGCUUUAAGUUCUUAACACACCCUCACCGUGGCUCAGCUCACUGCGCGGCCACUGCACAGAGAGGAAACUGAAAAGUCACACAGCAGCUGUGGGAGUCAGAGGAGCAAAGGCUUUGGGAUCACAUAGACGUGGGACACAUGCUUGCUUUGUGAUUCUGGCCAGAAGACAGCAGGGCUGCUUCUCUCUGCAUCCCAGCCUCCACUCUUCUCUAGAUACCAUCACCACCGUGACAACUGCAGUUAACACUUAGUGAAGACCCUUAGGUGCCAUGUGCCCCUGCGAUGCCCACAGAUGCCUCUGAGGUGGGCCCUGUAAUGGUCCCUAUGUUAGGGAGGGACUGUCCCAGGCCCAGCUGGUCAGUGAGGGAGGCAGGAUUUGAACCCAGGCAGCCUGGCUUUGGGGCACUGCUCUCUGCCAUGUGGCUAGUUCUGACACCCUUGCCAGCUAAGGUGGACACACCUGCAAAGGUGGGCAGCCUGGCUUUGCCCUUCAGGAGCCCCUGAUCUCUCUCAGGGGCCUCCAACCCACCCACUGGCUCUCCCUGCUGACAGAGCAACUAUUUCCUGGCCCCAAAGCCCCAGUCUCUGGAAAUGACCUUCCUUUCUUCUCCAGCUCAUGGCUGUGAGAGGCUCCUAACUGCACCCACCCCCGAUCAGCCAAAGCCAGUUACUCCACGUCCAAGACACAGGCAUGUUAAAAUGUAAACUGCCAUUCAUCAUCCGGCAGCGUGACUGUUUGCCUCCAUCAGGCCCCAGUCCGGCCUCACCACGCCUCCACCCUCUCCUCAGCAUCAAAGAAACAGCCUUGCCCUGCCAGGGCCUUCGCCAGGCCUGGCCCGGGAAGUCAGGGCUCCCUGACCCGAUGGAGUGAAUCGUUGUGAGCAUUUAUUUAAUAGCAUUAUCUUGAUGAUGAAUAAAUCACACCUUCAUGAA